AGCUUUGCACAGUGGCAGUAUCGUAGCCAAUGAGGUUUAUCCGAGGCGCGAUUAUUGCUAAUUGUAUGCUCUCAGAAAGCUAAAAAUUAAGAGAGGUAUUUCUUUCUCUCAGGAGUCUGA
rnacentral:snRNA from 1 species